rfam:Myotis brandtii contig247951, whole genome shotgun sequence.
GGUGGUUCUCAGGUGACGCACCCUGGAAUCGGGCUUCCUCCUCUCUAGUUCCAGGGGGCGUCACCUGAGAACUGCA